CGGGACGAUUUUACGAUCUCACUUAUUCAAAACUAAAGACUCGGAGGAUCCAGUACUUGGAGUCUUUUAUUACUGUCAAUGAUUACAGACGAACCAGCUUAUUUAGAGGACGAAAAUCAUCCUGAUCAAGUUCCAUCACAGGAAAUGGUACGCAAGCCUCAAAAAAGUGCGUAGGUAACAUGAUGUUGAAAGAACGAGGAGAUUGGAAAAGAAAGAAGUAAAUUGAGAGCUAUACAGAUAAAUCUAAAAGUAAACAUAGAGGACAAUGAUGCAUUAGAGACUGGCAUAUCAUCUCAUACGGACAACACCGCAGGAGAGUUUUUUUAUAUUUGAACAAUUCAGCUUCGCUUCAAAGAAAGUUGGAUGCAUUGG